GCAGGGGAUGUGAGGAGCUAAGAAGGUGACCAAUUUUAAAGUCUGCAGGAUAAAAUGAAUUUUUUUUUUUUAAAAAAGCAAAAACUCUGAGUUCAAACAAUGAAAAGGAAAAUAAGACUCAAUGGAAGUCAUGGACUAUUCUAGACUAUAUUGUAUGAGAAGAUUUAGAGCAAUGCUAGCUCCAGGCCAUGGAACUUUGACUAAGAGGACAGAGAAGACACAAAGGAACGUAGGAUUAUGUUGGGAGACUGGAGAGACCCUGGAAAGGAUUGCAACACAGUCAGCAACUUUUAACCCACCUAACCAGCGGCUCCAGCCCUGGUGAGAAGAAAGCUUAUGGCCUCCUUAUGAGUGGACACUUAUCUCACUCUGUUUGCAGAUGCCAAGUACAGACGGCUUACACCUGAAAUCCCAGCAUUCAGGAGCCUGAGUUCAAGGCCAGCUAUAUUCAGCAGGCAACUGGCCUCAUCCUGCCUGACCUGGCGUUCUGUGCAAGCAACUUGAAACGAUCCCUUCUGCAUUUGAGGUCGAACUACUCUCAGUGUUUUCCCAUUUCUCUGUCGCCUCUCACGCCAGUUUUUGAGGCUAAACUGUUUUUACUUGUCAUGCUGCAAAAACAAAUUUACUAAUAGAAUGACAUUCUCAUUCCUGUUUUAGAAAGUUUCUGUCUUACUUGGUUAUUUCUUCUUGAAUUUUGCUCUCCUCACUCCAAUCAAAAACUCACACAUUCCACUCACCUCUACCCUGCUCUAAUUUCUUCACAACAGCCCUCAGAACCCAACCUUAAAUAGCUUUUAUUUAAUAUUCUCUGUCUCCUUCUCUGUCUCUCUCUCUCUGUCUCUCUCUCCCUCUUUCACUCCCUCCCUCUCUCUCUCUCUCCUCCCAAUACAUCCUAAUCCAAACACAUCCUCAAACAAGAACUGCCGAUGAGCAACAGAAUUUCUAAUCUGCAUAUGUGCUCAGAAAAUCUGUUACAUCUAGAAUAAUACCGCGUUAUGGAAACCAAGGCUGAAGGACAGAAAGGGGCGCUGUUUCCUCACAGCGGAGCAGGUUUGAAGCCAGAUCUCCCGAAGCUGGUCUGGGACUUCCGCUCAUGCUCGUCUGUCCACCAGGGGCUUGAGUUUCUCCUCCGAUAACUUCAGUGCGCAGCAGCCACAGAUUGUUUACCAAACACCGGCAGUUUGUCUCCGGCACUGUGACAGAUGAUACUGGUCCGGGUUAUGCUGCGUGGGAGAACAGGGUUGUGAGCUCUCCGCUUUUCAAAGCAGAGGAGCAUCCCCUCAGUGUGAAGGGUUGGAUGUAUGAGUUUUUCUUAAAGGAAGAAAUGAGAAAGAGGAGUGUAUAUAUGACAUAUAAGACCCCCAUGAGCUGGCCGCAGAGAGUGCUAUAGGUUUGACAGAGAGGACAGGGCACUUCCACCUGCAAAUGGACCCUGUGCGGAGUCCUCUUUAAUGACAGAUGUGCACUGCAAUGAGAAGAGAAUGAAUCUCUGGCUCUAGGUCACACCUUACAGUCUUUCCAUGGUUCUAAGGACAUCAAACAAAUAUUUAGACAGAGUCCUUUACUCAGCUUCUCCGGAGCCGUGAAUCAAGUCAGAAAAGUAAUUCAAGCCUCGCUCCCAAGGUACCAGAGGGGAAGAAAAGUCAUUUCCUUAGAUUCCAUCCUCCCUACAGAGCCAUUUGUCAGUUUCCUCAGAGAGUCUGCAUCGAUCCCAUUUGGACUCUUGCCAAAAUGCACACCCAAGAGAAGUGCAAGCUGGGGCCAGCGGCUCCCCUGGCCUCCUCCUUCCUCGGUGCAGGGGAAAGGGCUGUGACAAGAGAGAGCUGUGACCCUUCACAGGCCUCUGAGGUAUCUGGGCUUUUCUUUGCACUCUGGGAAGCUCCUGAGUGCCCACUGUCAUGAACACUUUUCUACGCAAGGAACUGGUUCAUCAGAGGUAGCUUUUACAGGAUUCACUUACCAACAAAAGGAGUAACCCUCACUUGGAAACUUUGCUCACCUGCCCCUUCUUCCACCAGCAGAAGAUCAUCUGAAAUAUGCAGACAACUGAUGCUUCCUGACUCACCAAACUUUGGUGAUUUGGACUAGCUGUGCUCUUGAUUCCCCACCAAUAGUAGGACCUUAGGAGCAGGGAAGAACUUACAGAUUGCAACUCACAGUUUUAAUGAAUGUUUAUAGAGGGGAAGGAAUUCGGUCAAGGUCUUACCAAUGGGAAGAAAAUCCAUCCUCCUAGAACCAGGAAGGGGACUCACACCCCAGUGCCCCUUAGUCCCUGAGCAUCUAAACGGCACACGUGACUUGCGUAUGUGCGUUUGACCACAUGGAGGUUUUAGACAUCACGUACUUUGUGGAGUUUACUAGUUUUCAUGUGAGCGAUCCCUCUGUGCUGUGCAGCUCAUCAUGAAAGUGCUGAGCCACACUGACUGUUUUGUUACUAACCAGUGUUCCCUGCAGAAAAAGCUGAUCCUGGUUCAUCUUGAGCCCUUGCAACUUCCUUUCUGCCAUGAGAGUUUUUAAUCACUCCUGUUGUCCUGCUUCCCAGCCUAGAUUCACAUGGGUAGCAAAUCUCAGAGCAAUAUUAGGGGUAAAUGCUAGGAUUCCCCCAUUUCUCCUUGUGCCUUAUAAUAAGGGAAUGGUGUGAUUUAAAGACAUCUUGGGGGACUCCCACUUCCCUUACAGUAGAAUGAAAAGUCUCUCUUUAAAAUAGCCACCAAUAGAGUAUAAAGUCAAGAUGCUGAAUUCCCUUUAUUGAGUACAUAUUGCUAAUCAGAAAGAACAAGAGAAGAUGAAGCCAGCCCACAUAGAUCCACAAAGUCUGAGAGAAUUUGUUAAAUAGCAUGCACUGCCUUCAUCAAACCUUCCAACUGCCCAGCUGUACCCCUUCCUCUGAGUCCGCAGUGAUGCCAGUGUGCCUGUCCCAGGACAGACACACACUCUCCUUUCUCUUUACAUACCGCCUUCCUCUCCCUCAGCACACACACUCAGCCAUACCCCUCGGUCUCCAGUGACACAGGGAGCCAGUUGUGACUGUCAAGUGUGUCCUUCUUGUGUGAGCACCAGGCAGAGCACACAUCUCUACCUCCACCCCAGCCCCUCUCAGCCUUCUCAUAAGCAGACUGAGCCUGCCUAGCAUUGAGUGGGAAAUGCCCUUCAUGAGUUAAUACAAGGCACACAAUCUGUGUUGGAUUUUCUGAGAACUCCCACAGCUAGUAAAGAAGAACCACGGAACCUAAACAGCCUUUAUUCUUCCACCAACUCCACCCUACUGUCUCCUGGGCACCAUCCCUCUACAUCCUCAGAGAAACCUCACCACCCUCCUCUUACGAAAUAUUAAAAUACAAUGGUUCCCAGAUGACCACAAAAAUUUGGGAGUCGAGGGAUAAAACAUUCUCCUCCUGCUUCCGCGAGCCAUAGGAAAACGGUUGAACUUCAUAUGGCUCAGUGUUCUCACUGUUGGAAGAAUGCAUACCCCAGGCAGCCUUGCCAAGCUGCUGAGAAGCUAAUUAUCUCCAGGAGAAGACAAGACAAAGAACAAACAAAGGCCUUCUGCUCCUGAGGCUGCAGAGCCAUUAUCGAACAACGGAGCACACGUUUCCUACUUAUUGAAACAUUUUGGGCUGUGUGAUUGUAUUUUAACAUUGUGCUUUGAGAGUACAAUAUUAUCAAUUAGCACGUGCCUGCCAGUGCAUAGCAAAAUGACAGGUUAAUGUCAAUUGCAUAAUGAAAUUUCAGGAACCAUUUGAGAUUGGUAUAAAAUCAUUUAAAGUGACUCUUUAUAAAAGCCCUUUAUUUGGAAUGUCUGCUAUUGCAUUAUUAGAUAGGCUUCACUGAAUAUAAAAGAUCUUUAAUUUGAUUAUAUUAGUAACCCAUAAAUAGUAUUGACGCAUCUCAUCACCAUUUUUCCGCUGAUUACUACUGUUACGGCUUGUGUUUAGAUGUCCUCCCAAAGCCUCAUGUGAUCGAGCUUCGUCAGAGGUAGCUGGAUCCAUAGGGUGUGGUGCUGUGAUUGAUUCAGGGUGCAAUGCUACGCUCAAGGGCACUAGGAUUAAGGGUAUGAGUGCUACCCACCCUAAGAAAUCUGGAUAAGAUAAAAGGGACAAGAAAGAAGCAGUUAAAGUCCCCUGCUGCUUUUGCUAGCUUUGCCUGCAAUGAACUGUUUUUCUCCUCUGUGAUGCCUCUCUGCUCUGUCCUACUCUGCCGUGGAGCCAGCCAA